UACGGAGGAUGCAAGCGUUAUCCGGAAUUAUUGGGCGUAAAGCGUCCGCAGGUGGUACAUCAAGUCUGCUGUCAAAGACCGGAGCUCAACUCCGGGCAGGCAGUGGAAACUGGUGAACUAGAGUACGGUAGGGGUAGAGGGAAUUCCCAGUGUAGCGGUGAAAUGCGUAGAGAUUGGGAAGAACACCAGUGGCGAAGGCGCUCUACUGGGCCGUAACUGACACUCAGGGACGAAAGCUAGGGGAGCGAAAGGG
rnacentral:rRNA from 1 species